UGACACCGUAACUUCGGAAGAAGGUGUGCCUUUAGUAGGUGAACCCGUACAGGGGGAGCCCAAUGAGGUUGCAAAGAAUCGGUGGCUGCGACUGUUUAAUAAAAACACAGCACUCUGCAAACACGAAAGUGGACGUAUAGGGUGUGACGCCUGCCCGGUGCUGGAAGAUUAAGUGAUGGGGUGCAAGCUCUUGAUCGAAGUCCCAGUAAACGGCGGCCGUAACUAUAACGGUCCUAAGGUAGCGAAAUUCCUUGUCGGGUAAGUUCCGACCUGCACGAAUAGCGUAACGAUGGCCACACCGUCUCCUCCCGAGACUCAGCGAAGUUGAAAUGUUUGUGAUGAUGCAAUCUCCCCGCGGAAAGACGGAAAGACCCCAUGAACCUUUACUGUAGCUUUGUAUUGGACUUUGAACGGAUCUGUGUAGGAUAGGUGGGAGGCUUUGAAGCAGGGUCGCUAGAUCUUGUGGAGCCAACGUUGAAAUACCACCCUGGUGCGUUUGAGGUUCUAACCUAGGCCCGUUAUCCGGGUCGGGGACAGUGCAUGGUAGGCAGUUUGACUGGGGCGGUCUCCUCCCAAAGCGUAACGGAGGAGUUCGAAGGUACGCUAGUUACGGUCGGACAUCGUGACGAUAGUGCAAUGGCAUAAGCGUGCUUAACUGCGAGACUGACAAGUCGAGCAGAUGCGAAAGCAGGACAUAGUGAUCCGGUGGUUCUGUAUGGAAGGGCCAUCGCUCAACGGAUAAAAGGUACUCUGGGGAUAACAGGCUGAUACCGCCCAAGAGUUCAUAUCGACGGCGGUGUUUGGCACCUCGAUGUCGGCUCAUCUCAUCCUGGGGCUGUAGCCGGUCCCAAGGGUAUGGCUGUUCGCCAUUUAAAGAGGUACGUGAGCUGGGUUUAAAACGUCGUGAGACAGUUUGGUCCCUAUCUUCCGUGGGCGCUGCAGAUUUGAGGAAGCCUGCUCCUAGUACGAGAGGACCGGAGUGGACGCACCUCUGGUGUACCUGUUGUCACGCCAGUGGCAUUGCAGGGUAGCUAAGUGCGGAAGAGAUAACCGCUGAAAGCAUCUAAGCGGGAAACUCGUUUCAAGAUGAGAUCUGCCGGGGCCUUGAGCCCCCUGAAGAGUCGUUCUAGACCAGGACGUUGAUAGGCUGGGUGUGGAAGCGCAGUAAUGCGUUAAGCUAACCAGUACUAAUUGCUCGUGCGGCUUGACCC
rnacentral:rRNA from 1 species